rnacentral:misc_RNA from 1 species
GAUGAAGAACGUAGCGAAAUGCGAUAAGUAGUGUGAAUUGCAGAAUUCAGUGAAUCAUCGAAUCUUUGAACGCACAUUGCGCCCUUUGGUAUUCCAAAGGGCAUGCCUGUUCGAGCGUCAUUUGUACCCUCAAGCUUUGCUUGGUGUUGGGCGUCUUGUCUCUAGCUUUGCUGGAGACUCGCCUUAAAGUAAUUGGCAGCCGGCCUACUGGUUUCGGAGCGCAGCACAAGUCGCACUCUCUAUCAGCAAAGGUAUAGCAUCCAAUAAGCCUUUUUUUCAACUUUUGACCUCGGAUCAGGUAGGGAUACCCGCUGAACUUAAGCAUAUCAAUAAGCGGAGGA